rnacentral:rRNA from 1 species
CACGUAGGACGCAAGCGUUAUCCGGAAUUACUGGGCGUAAAGCGUGCGUAGUCGGCCAUUUAAGUCGGGUGUGAAAUCCCCGGGCUCAACCUGGGAAUUGCAUUCGAUACUGGAUGGCUAGAGUUCGGCAGAGGGAAGCGGAAUUUCCGGUGUAGCGGUGAAAUGCGUAGAUAUCGGAAGGAACAUCAGUGGCGAAAGCGGCUUCCUGGACCAGAACUGACGAUCAGGCACGAAAGCGUGGGGAGCAAACAGG